rnacentral:rRNA from 1 species
UACGAAGGGGGCUAGCGUUGCUCGGAAUCACUGGGCGUAAAGGGCGCGUAGGCGGAUCUUUAAGUCGGGGGUGAAAGCCCAGGGCUCAACCCUGGAAUUGCCUUCGAUACUGAAGAUCUCGAGACCGGAAGAGGUAAGUGGAACUGCGAGUGUAGAGGUGAAAUUCGUAGAUAUUCGGAAGAACACCAGUGGCGAAGGCGGCUCACUGGUCCGGUACUGACGCUGAGGUGCGAAAGCGUGGGGAGCGAACAGG